UUCACCGCAGCGCUCUUCGCGGUAGCCGCGGCGCGCCCCUGCGUGUCCGUGAGCGGAGCGGAUACAGAGGAGGGGCGCUCGCGCGCACGAUGGGUGCCGCUCGGCCGUGAAAAAGGAGGCCGUGCCGCCAUCUGUGACGGCGAUGGACCCGGAGGGCCGUAGGGUUCACAUGUAUAAAUUACAAAAAGAAGAUCCCAUCAGGAAAUUGUAUGGAGGUUCUACUCGAGUAAUUCAGCACAACUUAGCAGAGAGAAAGGAGAAGGCCCAGGAGGCACCUUACGUUGAUUGUACCCAGUGUUAAAACUCCUAAGAAGCCCUGGCUUGAUGACAGCAGCAGAGGGAAGAGAACAGGAGCAAGUAGAGGAGAAGUGAGAAAGAACGCAG